AUGGUGAGGAGCAAAGAGGUGCCCAAGAGGCCCAAGGACCCGCUCAUGACCCCUCCGUCCAAGCCCAGGGGAUUCAGGUACGACGACGACGGCGGCUUCGGCGGAAGCUUGCCGAGGAACCGCGGCGGCUCGGCCAUGUCCCCGGCGCCGGCCUCCGUGCCCAACUACAUGCGGGCCACCAGCAGCUCCGGCGCCAAGGCCGGGCCCGGCCGGCGCGCGGGGGCGGUGCCCUCGUCGGCGUCGCCCACGACCAGGCGGGGGCCGGCGCGGGCGGUCACGAUGGGGAGGGUGCUGUUCCCGACGCCGGAGGUGCCCGGCAUGGUCCGCGCCACGCCCACGUGCUCCUCCACCAUGAAGGAGGCGCUCGGCGACUUCUUCGUGGAGGUGUACGCCGGCCCGAGGGUGAGCUCCGACAUGAGCUGCAGCGACAUGUCCCUGGACGAGAUGGACGCCGCGGUGAGGAGGAUGGAGUUCGUCGUCUUCGACCGGUGCGGCGUGGGCGAGGACGACGAGAAGGGCGGCGAUCCUGCCGUUGGCGGUGACGGCGGCAGGAGGCCGGAGGAGGACAGGCUCGGUUUCUGCAGGGACAGUUCGUCGGAGUGCAGCGAUGACGCUGUCUCCGGUCCCAUCUCCGGCAACCUCGUGGAGGAGCUGCCCUGGAUGAGGUACGAGUGCGAUAGCCUGGAGGAUGAUGUUUCAGAGGAGCAUGUUCAGGAAGCAGAGGUUUCAGAGGGGCAACAAUGUAACGACGAAGAAGGCGGAUCGAGCGAUAAUCACGAAGAGGAGGCGGAUGAAGAACAGAAACCGGAACACGAGGAGAUCAUCUCCGAUCUGCCCCGUGAAACGGGGAUCGUCGCGGAGGAAGAGGGUGUCGAUUGCAGAUCUCCACUCCGCGAAGACAUCUCAAGCACAAUGGAUCAACAUGAGGCUUGCACAGUGCAAGAGACGCAACAUGAAGACGGUGAGGAGCGUGUCUCGGAUGUUGCCCACAAAAUGAAGAUCGCCGCGGCGCAAGCAUGUAUUGUUUGUGCAGCGGAGGUCUGCAAUGAGCAGGAAGAAGAAGAAGAUCAAGACAACAUCCUGGGCAAAGUGAUCCAAGGGGAUGCUUCUGAUGGACAAGGCACGUCAGCAGAGAAGCUCUCCAAUGGUGUGGACGAGUCGGAGAUUCCUCAGCAUGAACUAGACAUCCUGGGCAAAGUGGUCCAAGGGGAUAUUUCUGAUGGACAGGGCACAUCAGAAGAGCAGCUCUCCAAUGGUGUCUGUGAACCGGAGAUUCCUGAGAAUGAAGUAGCAGAAAGCGUGGAGAAUGUCGUCGAAGAGAGCCGGGAAGAGGAUGGUGUAGCAGAUCAGGGAACAAAGGAUGAUCAGAGCAACGUUGAAUCUACCGGCAACUUAGAAGUUACAGAGAAGCAGGACAUGCCGGAUCAUGAGUCUGAAAUGGAGAUUUCUGAGACUGUCCCCAGUGUUGCAUGCGAAGAGGAUUUCGUCGAGGAAGAAGUAACCUCCAGAGCUGUUUCAGAAGGUGAAAUUUCUGACUGCAGUGCUAUUGCUUCUCUGGAUGCUGAAAUCUCAACACCACCAACAGAGGGUGGCUUUGAACAAGAUGUGAACACGGUGGAAGACGCUUUUGAACAGUAUGACGGUGCCGUGAACAACUUUGUUGAUCAGUGUAUCCCUGCAGAAGACACAGUGGAUGUCACAGAAGAUGCUGAGAAGCAAAUUGAGAUUACCUCAUGCAAUUUGGAAGAUGCUUCUGAAGAAUCUGGUACUGCCCAAGAAAGCAGCCAGGAAGUUACUUUCCUAUGUGUUGAUGCUACUGCCCAAGAAAGCAGCCAGGAAGUUAAUUUCCUAUGUGUUGAUGGUGGCGCGCAAAUGGAACUAGAGCCAAAGGUUACAAAUUGCAAGUUGGAAGAUUCUUCUGAAGAGUCUGGUAUUGCCCAAGAAAGCAGCCAGGAUGUUAAGCCUGUAUGUGUUGAUGCUGCUGCUCAAACGGAACCAGAGCCAGAGGUUACAAAUUGCAAGUUGGAAGAUUCUUCUGAAGAAGAGUCUGGUAUUGCCCAAGAAAGCUCCCAAGAUGUUAAGCCUGUCUGUGUUGAUGCUGCUGUUCAAAUGGAACCAGAGACUACAAACUACAAAUUGGAAGGUGCUUCUGCAGAAGCUGGUAUCACUGGAGAAACUGUUCAUGAUGAUAACUUGGUGUAUGUCGGCGAGGCUGCUCAAGUGCAAUCAGGGGUUGACACAAGCGAGUUGGUAGACACUUCUGAGGAAUCUGGUAUUGCUCAUGAAAUUUGUGAAGAUGAUAACUCUGCAUAUGUCAGUGAUGAUGCUCAAAGUGAUUCUGGGAUCGCCACAUGCGAAUUGGGAGAAGAAUCUGCUAAUGUCCAGGAAGCUGAUCAGGAUCAGAACUGUACAGAUGUCAAUGGUGGUUUUACAAAUGAAUCCAUGCUUACCGCUUGUGAACUGGCAGAGGCUUCUGAAGCAUAUGAUAUUACCCAAGAAGCUAUUCAAGAUGACAACAUUUCAGAUGUCAAUGAUGGUGCUCAAAAGGAAUCGGAAAUUAUAGCAUGCGAAUCGGAACAUGCUUGUGAAGAAUCUCAUAUUAUCCAAGAAGGGGGUGAAGAUGUUAACGCUGCUUGUGAAGAAUCUGAUAUAAUCCAAGAAGGGGUGGAAGAUGAUAACACUGCUUGUGAAGAAUCUUAUAUUAUCCAAGAAGGGGGUGAAGAUGGUAGCACUCCUGGUGUCCGCACUGGUGCUCUAAAGGAACCAGAGAUCAUGGCAUCCGAAUUGGCAGAUGCUUGUGAAGAAGUUUGUAUUACCAAGGAGGCUAAUCUCUCACCCGUUGUCCAGAUACCUGAGCAUAACUAUGACCUGUCAGCAACUGACGGCUAUGGGGAGCCUCAGAACCUACCAGCAGAAGACACUGUUGCAAAAGAAUUUUCCAUUGACGACAUGUGCAACGUAUUCAGCGGGUUGAACCUCAAAGGCGACGUAUAUGUUGAUCCUACCGAGUCCGAGAUAUGUCCGAGAAACAGAAGGAUCGUUGCCGGGAGGAGGAGAACACCUGAAGAAGAUGAAUACAUGCGAGGCUUUAACCCAAGGGCACCGAAUUUUCUUCCUCUGGAAUCGGACCCGGAUGCAGAGAAGGUUGAUCUGAAGCAUCAGACGGCGGAAGACCGCAAGAAUGCCGAAGAGUGGAUGAUCGACUACGCGCUUCGGAGGGCGGUGAAUAAUCUCGGCCCUGCUCGGAAGAAGAAAGUGGAGCUUCUGGUCCAGGCCUUUGAGACUGUCCUACCGCAGGAUGAGAAGAAAAGCAUUUCACCUACAAGGCCUGCCCAAGCUUGCAACUGA
rnacentral:rRNA from 1 species